rnacentral:rRNA from 1 species
CAGUAGCCGCGGUAACACGAAGGGUGCAAGCGUUACUCGGAAUUACUGGGCGUAAAGCGUGCGUAGGUGGUGGUUUAAGUCCGUUGUGAAAGCCCUGGGCUCAACCUGGGAAUUGCAGUGGAUACUGGGUCACUAGAGUGUGGUAGAGGAUUGUGGAAUUUCCGGUGUAGCAGUGAAAUGCGUAGAGAUCGGAAGGAACAUCUGUGGCGAAGGCGACUAUCUGGGCCAACACUGACACUGAGGCACGAAAGCGUGGGGAGCAAACAGGAUUAGAUACCCGUGUAGUCCCUGUCUCUUAUAC